UACGGAGGGGGCUAGCGUUGUUCGGAAUUACUGGGCGUAAAGCGCGCGCAGGCGGUCCUUUAAGUCUGAUGUGAAAGCCCACGGCUCAACCGUGGAGGGUCAUUGGAAACUGGGGGACUUGAGUGCAGAAGAGGAAAGCGGAAUUCCACGUGUAGCGGUGAAAUGCGUAGAGAUGUGGAGGAACACCAGUGGCGAAGGCGGCUUUCUGGUCUGUAACUGACGCUGAGGCGCGAAAGCGUGGGGAGCAAACAGG
rnacentral:rRNA from 1 species